rnacentral:rRNA from 1 species
GAAUCAAUUUGUUGGUCGUGCCUCGGUACGUACUGGUAUUAUUGGUUUCUACCUUCUGAAGAACCUUGAUGUCAUUAAUUCGGUGUCUUGGGAUCGAGGAGCAGUUACUUUGAAAAAAUUAGAGUGUUUAAAGCAAGCAUACGCUUGAAUACAUUAGCAUGGAAUAAUGAAAUAGGACGUUUGAUUCUAUUUUGUUGGUUUCUAGGAUCGACGUAAUGAUUAAUAGGGAUAGUUGGGC